CCUACGGUAGGCAGCAGUGGGGGAUAUUGCACAAUGGAGGGAACUCUGAUGCAGCGACGCCGCGUGAGGGAAGAAGGUUUUCGGAUUGUAAACCUCUGUCUUCGGUGACGAAACGAGACGGUAGCCGAGGCGGAAGCCACGGCUAACUACGUGCCAGCGGCCGCGUUACUACGGAGGUGGCACGCGUUGUCCGGAAUUACUGGGUGUAAAGGGAGCGUCGGCGGGAAAGCAAGUUGAAUGUUUAAGGUACGGGCUCAACCUGUACAAGCGUUCAAAACUGUUUUUCUUGAGUGGAGUAUAGGUAAGGGGAAUGCCUGGUGUAGCGGUGAAAUGCGUAAAUAUUAGGAGGAACACCAGUGGCGAAGGCGGCUUACUGGGCUUUAAUUGACGCUGAGGCUCGAAAGCGUGGGUAGCAAAUAGGAUUAGAUACCCGUGUAGUC
rnacentral:rRNA from 1 species